CACGUAGGGCGCGAGCGUUGUCCGGAAUUAUUGGGCGUAAAGAGCUCGUAGGCGGCCUGUUGCGUCCGCUGUGAAAGCCCGGGGCUUAACCCCGGGUCGGCAGUGGAUACGGGCAGGCUAGAGGUAGGUAGGGGAGAAUGGAAUUCCCGGUGUAGCGGUGAAAUGCGCAGAUAUCAAGAGGAACACCUGAGGUGAAGACGGGUUGCUGGGCUGACACUGACGCUGAGGCGCGAAAGCUAGGGGAGCAAACGGG
rnacentral:rRNA from 1 species